GAGGGAUCACCAUUGCCCUCUUCUUUCUAAGCUGUCAUCCUUAAUGGUGCAAUCGUCAUUACAGUACCACCGGUGACGCCACACAUUGAUUGCUGGGGGAUAAAUAGAAACGUCUGCCACUGCAGAGAUGAAAGGAAGAGCCGGAGCUAAUGGCUAGUGGUGAUGCACCAGGUGUAAGGGCUUGGGAUGCGGAGGGAAGUGUGAAAAAGAGAUGCAUAUGGAAUUCAGCUGCAAAGAGACUGUAACAUGCGGAAAGAGUUCCUCAGGGGGAAGCCUUGAUAAUGAAUUUAGACAGCGUCUGGACCUGCACCCCUCCUAAUGCUGGAAGAGGAAUCAAAUUGCAAGAUUGGGCACCGGUGGGAAGUAAAAUACUUUCUUCUCCGGAAGCUCCAGCAAUGUGACGCGCACCCCCGGUAUAAUAGUGGUUGGACUGUUUUUAAUGUUAUCAUUUUUAACCGUUGGCAGAGGGGGUACCAUCUGGAGAGUGAGGGGAGGGGAUUCGCAGCUGGGGAGCUGCACUCCAGUUCAACAGAGUUUGAGACUGAAGUUUAUGAAAAAUCAAGUCCCUUCGCUAAUAUAAAGUAACCAAUGGGUAAUGAGGGGAAAAACGCCCCAAACGAUGAGACGGACAAAACUCCAGUUUGUCUUGUUCAAUGCCAAAUGUAUGCAAGCUACUGUCGCCGGGGUGGAGGGGGGAGUCUUGAAGGUAAGAUACAGCAUUAAAGUGUCUUGAACAAGCUGAAGUACUUAAUCGGCUAAACUAGUCAGUACUGUGGGGGUACAAAUCUGCUCAGAUUCUGAGGGAAGGGUUGAGAAGCCCUUGGAAAUAGGAAGGGCUCCAUUGACAGCUGUCUUUGCCUUAGUUGGUACUUUAGGGAAUGCUUCCCGAUCGCGUGAAGAAAAUUACCACUGGGCUGCUUGGAAAAUAACCCUUCUGAGAGAAAUGUACAUUGGGACUGCACUGUGUAACGGUUUACUGUGUCCCAUUCGUCAAAUGAUUUUAAUGAGGUCUGUUCUCCGACCCUUAUACACAUAUAAUUUUAGAAUACAUUUAUUUAUCUGUCUCCCCUUCUGAGUACCCCACUCCUGUCUCUCACUACCCCAGAAAUCGCAUCCUUCAUGUGGAUUGGUUUAGAGAGUUUGCCAAUGCGUUAUGCUGUCUGAAUACCGCGGAAGAUCAAACGUGGACCAAACCAAUACUGAGCCGGACUCACACAGCAUCAAAAAUAUCCCUAUUUGCUCUCACAAAUUUAAAGGGAUAAAGGGCCUGAAUCUGUCUCUGUUCACAUCGAAGGAAGUUUUGCCAGUGAUUUAAAUGGGAGCAGGAUAGGGCCUUAAAUAGGUCCUCUUUAGCUUCUAAACCCUGGUUGGAUCGCCACAAUGGAUAAUCCCUUUUAGGUCAACAAUUCUGUGGUAGAACAGAUCUCUGAAAUUAACUCCCACCUGCUCCAUUCUCACUUCUUUGCAAAACCCAACCUCCCACUGAAAUGAAUGGGAGAUACGAG